AUGAGGAGGAAGUAAAUUAGUCACAGAUGUGAGUACUUAGGGAAUUCAAUACUUGUUGAUUUGCUGUUUGGAAUGAUGGUAGAUCCACAGGUUGAGCAAUCAGUAUUAGGGUUCAGAGUCAUGGAGGAAAGAAAGAGGUGGAGAGAAAGCUUACUUUGGAACAGUGGUUUUCAACUUUGGCUGCAUACUGAAAUAACCUGGGCAGCUCUAAAAAGUACUGAUGUCUAGGUCUCACCCUCAGAGACUCUUAAUUUAAUUGCCUUGGUAUGUUGCUAGUGAAUUGAGUUUCAAAAGCUCUCCAGCUGAUAUUAAUGUGCAGCUAAGAUUGAAAACCUCUGCUCUAGAGUUUAAAAAGGCCAAUAUUGUUUUAGGAAAACAGGUGAAGAAUAUUAGUUAGAAUUCUUCAACUUCUCAGGGUCCAAAGUAUACUUGAGUGAAGAAGUGAAAACUUGUAGAGAAGAAAACAGGUUAGGACAAGAAGUUACUUAGACUUGGGCCAGCAGGUGAUAUCAUUUUUACAAGGUGAAGAUGAGAAGAAAGAAGAAUGAAAUAGUUAAAAGAAGCAUAAACUGGACCUGAAGGCAGAAUCAUAAUUCAAAGUUCAGGUAGCUGAUCUAGGAAUGCAGCCUGAAGAAAUCAGCACCUCCUAGAUACAGAAUGAACAGAAGGGCUCAGAAGAAAUAUGAGGACAAAUAGGUAUGCUAGACUGAGGCAGAAGAGGCUUGAAUAUUGACUUCAUCUUUUAAGAUAACUCCCCAGGACUGGAACUCCCUAGUACAAACAUCCAAUUGACAGAUCUUAGGUCAUGUAUCUUUGAUUUGGCUCUCUGAGGGCAAGGAGGGAGUUUCUGGGCCCUUCAGCCUAUGCAAUCAGAGCCCUCAUAACAUAUGAUGAGGGAUUUUCUCCAACCAGAAAAUUUUGGGGUACAGAGUAGGAAAACAUGAUAAUAAAAUAAUGCAACUAGAAACAUUUAAAAGGAAAAACAUUUGUAUAGAAAUGCAUAAUGGUUUGCACCUGUCUUGCAUUUGGCCUAAUGGACUCACUCCAUGCUCUAUCUUCAGAUACUUUUCUACUUAAAAUGUUAUUACUGUUGACUUAGCAAUUGUUAUGCACUGAAUGUUUGUGUCUCCCCAAAUUUAUAUGCACUGAAUGUUUAUGUCUCCCCAAAAUUCAUAUGUUGGGAUUUCAUAUGAAAUCCUAAUCCCCAAUGUGAUGGUAUUAGGAGGUAGAGAGGUAAUUUGGUCGUGGAUCUGGAGUCCUCUUGAAUAGGUUUAGUGCCCUUACAAAAGAGACCCCAGAGAGCUCUCUAGUCCUCUUCCUACCAUGUGAGGAUACAACAAGAUGAUGGCAGUCCUGCAGCCUGGAAGAGCGCCUUCACCAGAAACCGACCAUGCUGGCACCCUGAUAUGAGACAUCUGGCC
rnacentral:lncRNA from 1 species